GGAGAGUAGAGGGGGAUAAUAGAGGUGGAGAGUAGAGGAGUAUAAUAGAGGAGGAGUGUAGAGGAGGAUAAUAGAGGUGGAGAGUAGAGGAGGAUAAUAGAGGUGUAGAGUAGAGGAGGAUAAUAGAGGUGGGGAAUAGAGGAGGAUACAGGUGGAGAGUAGAGGAGGAUAAUAGAGGAGGAGUGUAGAGGAGGAUAAUAGAGGUGGGGAAUAGAGGAGGAUAAUAGAGGUGGAGAGUAGAGGAGGAGAGUAGAAGAGGAUAAUAGAGGUGUAGAGUAGAGGAGGAGAGUAGAAGAGGAUAAUAGAGGUGUAGAGUAGAGGAGGAUAAUAGAGGUGGGGAAUAGAGGGGGAUAAUAGAGGUGGAGAGUAGAGGUGGAGAGUAGAAGAGGAUAAUAGAGGUGUAGAGUAGAGGAGGAUAAUAGAGGUGGGGAAUAGAGGGGGAUAGAGGUGGAGAGUAGAGGAGGAGAGUAGAGGUGGAGAGUAGAGGAGCAUAAUAGAGGAGGAGAGUAGAGGAGUAUAAUAGAAGUGGAGAGUAGAAGGGGAUAAAAGAGGAGGAGAGUAGAGGAGGAUAAUAGAGGUGGAGAGUAGAGGAGGAUAAUAGAGGUGGGGAAUAAAGGAGGAUAGAGGUGGAGAGUAGAUAAGUAUAAUAGAGGAGGAGAGUAGAGGAGUAUAAAAGAGGUGGAGAGUAGAAGGGGAUUAAAAAGGAGGAGAGUAGAGGAGGAUAAUAGAGGAGGAGAGUAGAGGAGGAUAAAGAGGUGGAGAGUAGAGGAGGAUAAAAGAGGAGGAUAAUAGAGGUG
ensembl:lncRNA